GGGACAUGGGGACAAGAGGAAGGCUCCGUCUUCAAAAGGACCUUGAAACCCCUUCGCUCAGAUUGCCUCUCUCUGGUAAAUGAGCUUGAAUGCUGCUGUUGGACUCAGGAUGUCACUCAUGGAUGGGGUGGUGGUGGCAAAUCUCUUCAUAUUCCAAGAGUUUUGAUUGCGAGUGGAGCUUUAACUAUAUUUUUUGCCUUUCUUUACUUGCCUUUUCCACCUUUCGUUUUUGGGAAAGGGUUUGCUCUUUUUGGGUGUAUGUUGUUGCUGUUGCUGCUGCACUGCUUUUUCUGUUCAAUAAAUCUUUUCUUCUAAUUA